GACGAACGCUGGCGGCGUGCUUAACACAUGCAGGUCGAGCGAUGAAGUUUCUUCGGAAAUGGAUUAGCGGCGAACGGGUGAGUAACACGUGAGGAAUCUGCCCUUCACUUUGGAAUAACUCCGGGAAACCGGAGCUAAUACCGGAUAGGAACUCUGGCGGCAUCGCCGGAGUUGGAAAGUUUUUCGGUGAAGGAUGACCUCGCGGCCUAUCAGCUUGUUGGUGAGGUAAUGGCUCACCAAGGCGACGACGGGUAGCCGGCCUGAGAGGGCGACCGGCCACACUGGGACUGAGACACGGCCCAGACUCCUACGGGAGGCAGCAGUGGGGAAUAUUGGGCAAUGGGCGAAAGCCUGACCCAGCGACGCCGCGUGCGGGAUGAAGGCCUUCGGGUUGUAAACCGCUUUCAGCAGGGAAGAAGCGAAAGUGACGGUACCUGAAGAAGAAGCACCGGCUAACUAUGUGCCAGCCGCCGCAGUAA
rnacentral:rRNA from 1 species